rnacentral:rRNA from 1 species
CUCAUUAAAUCAGUUAUAGUUUAUUUGAUGGUCUCUUCGUCUUUUUUUUACCUACUUGGAUAACCGUGGUAAUUCUAGAGCUAAUACAUGCGCAAGGUCCCAAGCGCGGAGGGGUAGGGCUUCACGGCUCUAUUCUUGCAUGCGCAGCGGGAUGUAUUUAUUAGGUUAAUCAACCAGCAUUUUAAUCAUCUGGUGAUUCAUAGUAACUCUUUCGGAUCGCAUUCAUG